GGAGGGGUAGCGAAGAGGCUAAACGCGGCAGACUGUAAAUCUGUUCCUUACGGUUCGGCAGUUCGAAUCUGUCCCCCUCCACCA
rnacentral:tRNA from 1 species